rnacentral:rRNA from 1 species
AGUGAACGCUGGCGGUAGGCCUAACACAUGCAAGUCGAACGGCAGCACAGGAGAGCUUGCUCUCUGGGUGGCGAGUGGCGGACGGGUGAGGAAUACAUCGGAAUCUACUCUGUCGUGGGGGAUAACGUAGGGAAACUUACGCUAAUACCGCAUACGACCUACGGGUGAAAGCAGGGGACCUUCGGGCCUUGCGCGAGUGACUGAGCCGAUGUCGGAUUAGCUAGUUGGCGGGGUAAAGGCCCACCAAGGCGACGAUCCGUAGCUGGUCUGAGAGGACGAUCAGCCACACUGGAACUGAGACACGGUCCAGACUCCUACGGGAGGCAGCAGUGGGGAAUAUUGGACAAUGGGCGCAAGCCUGAUCCAGCCAUACCGCGUGGGUGAAGAAGGCCUUCGGGUUGUAAAGCCCUUUUGUUGGGAAAGAAAUCCAGCUGGCUAAUACCCGGUUGGGAUGACGGUACCCAAAGAAUAAGCACCGGCUAACUUCGUGCCAGCAGCCGCCGUAA